UACGUAGGGGGCAAGCGUUGUCCGGAAUUAUUGGGCGUAAAGAGCGUGUAGGCGGCCAGAUAAGUCCGCUGUGAAAUCUCGAGGCUCAACUUCGAGCUGUCGGUGGAAACUGUCUGGCUAGAGUCCGGAAGAGGGGAGUGGAAUUCCUGGUGUAGCGGUGAAAUGCGUAGAGAUCAGGAGGAACACCCGUGGCGAAGGCGGCUCCCUGGUCCGUCCCUGACGCUGAGACGCGAAAGCGCGGGGAGCGAACGGG
rnacentral:rRNA from 1 species